rnacentral:rRNA from 1 species
UACGAAGGGGGGCUAGCGUUGCUCGGAAUCACUGGGCGUAAAGGGUGCGUAGGCGGGUCUUUUAAGUCAGGGGGUGAAAUCCUGGAGCUCAACUCCAGAACUGCCUUUGAUACUGAGGAUCUUGAGUUCGGGAGAGGUGAGUGGAACUGCGAGUGUAGAGGUGAAAUUCGUAGAUAUUCGCAAGAACACCAGUGGCGAAGGCGGCUCACUGGCCCGAUACUGACGCUGAGGCACGAAAGCCAGGGGAGCGAACGGG